rnacentral:rRNA from 1 species
GCAAGUCGAACGGAGUUUUAACGGAAGUUUCGGAUGGAAGUUAGAAACUUAGUGGGCGGACGGGUGAGUAACGCGUGGGGUAACCUGCCUCAGUACAGGGGGAUAACAGUUAGAAAUGACUGCUAACACCGACAUAAUGUAGCGAAACCGCAUGAUUUUGCUAAUACAAAUAUUUAUAGGUAUGAGAUGGGCCCGCGUCUGAUUAGCUAGUUGGUGGGGUAAAAGCCUACCAAGGCGACGAUCAGUAGCCGGCUUGAGAGAGUGACCGGCCACAUUGGGACUGAGACACGGCCCAAACUCCUACGGGAGGCAGCAGUGGGGAAUAUUGGACAAUGGGGGAAACCCUGAUCCAGGCCGACGCCGCGUGAGUGAAGAAGUAUUUCGGUAUGUAAAGCUCUAUCAGCAGGGAAGAUAAUAGACAGUACCUGACUAAGAAGCCCCGGCUAACUACGUGCCAGCCGCGGC